CUGCUCCUAGUACGAGAGGACCGGAGUGGACGCAUCACUGGUGUUCGGGUUGUCAUGCCAAUGGCACUGCCCGGUAGCUAAAUGCGGAAGAGAUAAGUGCUGAAAGCAUCUAAGCACGAAACUUGCCCCGAGAUGAGUUCUCCCUGAGACUUUAGGUCUCCUGAAGGAACGUUGAAGACGACGACGUUGAUAGGCCGGGUGUGUAAGCGCAGCGAUGCGUUGAGCUAACCGGUACUAAUGAACCGUGAGGCUUAACCUU
rnacentral:rRNA from 1 species